UUUGUUUGCCUCUAUGAAGUAAUCUCUGUUGAUAUUAGUAAUGAUUUUGUGUUGACAAUGUUCAGCUAACGCACUUCUCAAUCACUCUCUCUCUGUUUACGUUCGAAGAAGAAACUCGCUCGUGACAUCGAAUGUUUGUAAAUGAUAAAAGUCGAUUUCACGUCGAAAGGAUUGAUCGCAGGAUCUACGUGGACUGGACAUUUUUUGCUCCUCUUGGUGAGUACUAUAAUUCAUGGACUUUUCUUUUGAACACUCUGUACGUUGCAAUACAAUAACUAGACCUCGCUGUCUAAAAUUGCGAUGGUUUUCUCACGUUGAGAAAAAGAAGAUAAUUUGCCAGAUCACCGUGUAUAUCACCAGGAGGCUCGGUCAAAUACAAACCGCACUCUGUUGCUAACUUUAUACUUAGGUAAAAUGUUUCAAGAAGAACAACCGACUUAUUUUUUUACGUAUAUGUCCCGUUUUUCUCUGUACACUUUUGCCGUCGGAUUGCUAAGUUUUUCAUUGCAGUUUCACAGAAAGUGGAGAGCUGGGUCAGAAAGCAAUCGCACGCGAAUUGCUCUACUUCUUCGUUGCGGUUGAAACAUCGCCCUGCUGCUGCCUCUUUCGGUGUUCGUGAUUUUGCGGAUCUCCAACUCUCCGAAUAAUGGAAACCACGCUCCCACGACCAAUAUUUAACUUUCGAGCAAAUUUCGUCGAUCCUCGCGCGUCGAUCGUGCUCGAUCGGUUUGCCAACAGCUUCCACGUUUGCUGGUGGUUACGCUUGUCUCGAGGCGUCGCAGAUAAAAUGUGUUUUGAACGUUUUUUUGCUAAUGUUUCAUUCCCAAACCGUAAUCGCGAUCUACGCAAAAAUCCAGUGGUCUUUGCGCCCUCAAAUAAAGUAAGCUUAAUAAUCGUGCAUUGUGUAACCGAAGACGUACAGUUUCCUCGCUCAUUCCGCUACCUACCGAAGAAACGAUAAACAGUGCAGCACGUGCAGUGGAACGUCUGUGAAACAUUUUUGUUUUUUUCUUUGGAAGAAUUUUACAAUCAAUUCUUAUUGAGAAUUAUAAGUAAAUUAUUCUGGCGUGGUGCUAUAACGUGUAUAAUAAGUGAUUAUCGUUAUUGAGAUAUGUAUAAUUUUAUGUGCUAGACUAGGUUAGCUGCGCAGUAGUGAUACUUGUAUGUGAAUAUCAGUGUGUGGAAGUGUGUGUGUGCGCGGCGUCUCGAAAACAAAGGAACGUAAACUGUUUGGUUAACAGUCUGCUGUGGAAGAAGGUGAGACGUGUGCAAGUAUAUGCAGACCGUGUCGUAAUGGACGCGUCACGAUCCAGCGAGCACCAAUUAAAAAAAAGAGGAGACUUAUUCUCGCGACCGUCGAAGAGUUGGUUAUCAUGUGAAUUAAUGAAAUAGAAAAUUGCCUCUGGACGACGCGCACACAGCUACAAAAUCGGUGCAGGUGCGCCAGCCUGUCUUCCGUUUAAUUUCGAACAUCGACGUGAAAAAUUGGCGCGCGACCUUCUGCCUUGAUUACGUGCCACCCGGAUUCAACCCCUGGCCUCGUCGCGAAGCAAAAAUUCCUCGUUCAUUGGCCCGUAAGGGCUCUUUUCAAAGGGCGCUGCCAGCCUCGUACGAGCAAGGAAAUCUCUUUGAAACUGGCACUGGGCUCCGCUUAAUAUUAAUAGCAGCAUUUGCGGCUCCGUAUGAACGACAUUUAACUAACGAGACGCCUCGAUUCGGUCACCGUGCUUCUUUGCCUUCUUUUUCUCUUCUCGCUUCUCUUUUUCUCUCCUUCUUUUCUUUUUGUUUUAUUUAUUUAAGGUCGCACGUACCUGUGAACGUUAUUUAGCGACUACCACGGUACACAAACGAACGAUCCGUAUUUUAUGAGAACACUGACAGAACGAUCUGCGAUCGAAACAUCGAGCGAUAUUUUGUAAAUGCGGGGACGUUUCUCUGUGAGAAAAAUUGAAACAGGAAAUUAGAACUGAAGGAAAUUUGUAUAGUUUUGUUAAACAAUUGUCAACUCUUGUUUAGAAUUAAUGUUACGAGGUGAAAGAAUAGAUAAUUUUAAAUCUUGUAUUAAAUAUCGAAUGAUGUUAAAGAAAUAAAUAAUUUCUACCGCGUUAUACAAGAAAUUUGAUAUGUAGAGUGCGCUAAACAUUUAUAAACUUUGGUUUACCCGCAUUAUCGUUAUUAAAUGAUUCGAUCAGGUCACAUUCAUGUCAUACAUCCUGUCAUAUCGUUUAUUCACCGCGGCUACCGUAAAUAAUAUUUCCGUGUUAUUCCUCAAAAUGUUAUAUCGGUUGAUUAUAUCGAUUAUUUUAUAGAUUGAAGCAUUUUCAACAGAAUAAUACAGAAAUGGAAACAACUAUCGAGCGUUCUGUAAUUAAAAAAUAAUUGAAACGAGCCAUCGGUUGGAAAGCAACGUUUAUUAAUUAAAAACUUGACAUGAACUUUAAGCGAGUUGUAAAAUAGUCUUCCUCUGUUCAAUUUUUCCCACUUUUUGAACGAACAUUUACAGCUCGAUAGAGAUGUAUUACUGUUGUACUCGAUCUUCAUAACUCGAAGUUCUAAUUAAAAUAAAAAUCAAGUCGCACAGAAUUGAUAUUUCUGAACAAUAAGUUCUCAGCGAAUUUAACACGCGUCACUACGAUUCUUUUGAAACGAAUUCUAACGAAAGCGGCGUGGUUUGCUUAAUAAUGGCAGGGCGGUGUUCUAUACAAAAUUUAUUACUGUUGUUUUGCGUUAAUAAAGCUUGGCAAUAGGCAACCAGCACGCACAGUUUACGUCGAAAAUUUUAAUGAUCAAGUGAAAAAUGCGAGGUUUCGCCCACCACAACGAAUCUUUCGAAGCGAAAAUACGGGAAAUCCAGACUACAAUAACGAACUUGUUAGAAGCUGAACGAUCAAUUUUAAUAAAGAACGGAAUCAAAUUUUCCCUGCGCUCAAUUUUAAAUUGAAUUUCGUCCUUUCUUCUCUUUUCUCACUUAUGCACUGCCAUUCGUAAGCCUUUGGAUACCAAAUGCUAUUGCAGAAAAAAGUUACAUGAAACGAUAUUUUCGUAAUAUUUUCAAAGUUCGACGCUUAGAAAUCAUUUGUCUACUGUUUAUUGUGUAUCUCUUGCCAUAUCUCUUGAUCGUAAAGUAGAAUAAGUUAAAAUUCAAAUGAAAGGAAGAAAUUUAUGCAUCUGCGUCACUCAUAUUCUAUCUUUGUUUUUAAUUUGAUGUUUUAUAAAAUUUAUGCAUAUUGAUGUUUAGGAUGCGACCAGAAAUAUGCAUUUGCCAAUACAAGGCAUUGAACAGACACAUUGAAUCAGUUGUCUGUAACCUAACUGAGGUAUCUGUGCAGCAUCUUUGAUGUCUGUUUUAUUUAUAAUAAUUAAUAUUAAUUAUCGUUUCUAUUAAUGUCUACUAAUUGCCUAAAAUAAGAUCAGAGACCAAAAUUAGAUCUUAGAGUUUCCUUUGCAGCCUACUUUAUGCAUAUAUAUUUCCAAUAAUUUGCUAGUGUAAAGAUAUUAGUUGCAAAAUGAAACGAUCGUAUUCAGGAUGAAACUUACAUUCAGAGUUUUAUUAAAAAUAAUAUUACUAAAAGUAUGCUUUAACAAUUUCGAUAUAUGUUGACUAUCUUAAAAAUAACUUUACGAUUACCAUAAUUAAUAUCACUGACUCAUUGUAUUUGUAAUCGUCAUCAAAGUAAA